rnacentral:rRNA from 1 species
CCUACGGGACGCAGCAGUGGGGAAUAUUGCACAAUGGGGGAAACCCUGAUGCAGCGACGCCGCGUGAGUGAAGAAGUAUCUCGGUACGUAAAGCUCUAUCAGCAGGGAAGAAAAUGACGGUACCUGACUAAGAAGCCCCGGCUAACUACGUGCCAGCAGCCGCGGUAAUACGCAGGGGGCAAGCGUUAUCCGGAAUUACUGGGUGUAAAGGGAGCGUAGACGGCAAUGCAAGUCCGGAGUGGAAUGCGGCAGCUCAACUGCCGAACUGCUCUGGAAACUGUAUGGCUUGAGUGCAGGAGGGGUAA